AACUCAUCCAGAGUUGGCGGAGGGACUGGCCCGAUGAAGCUGCGGCAACCAUUUGACAGAGUCUCUGUCGAAACGGUGCCAAUUCCGGCGAAUUUUUUUCGCAAGAUGGGAG
rnacentral:ncRNA from 2 species